AAAAAAUACAAGGUCUUUGUUUGGUGGGGUUUAUUGAUUACGUCUUCAUUUUGUAUUGGCAAAAAUAUAUCUUCAACUCCUAUCUCUAAAGACGAUGAUAACCAUUGUGAAGAAUGACAUGCAAAGGCUAUUAGAACCACAUAUCAACAAUUUUCUGACCAUGACCAAGUGAUGAAUAUGAUACAAGUCUACCUCAUGAAAGCCACACUACUUUUCAAAGAAAAAUAUUUUCUUUGGAGUUGUAGGUAUUAUAGUGAAAACUUAAUCUUGACUUCUGUUCUGCAUAAAUGAGAAUCGCACUAUGCCAGGUAACAUAAUGUAGCGAGUACCCUGGUUGAGUCAAGAUAAUAUAAAAUAAGUGGAAAGAUAAUGUGGCCCAAGUAGUAAAGGAAAGGAUGUGCAAACAGCCGAAUGUGAAUCUGGCAAUAAUGUGCCUGUUUAAAUGAGUUUUAGUUGAGUACCAAAUAGUUACCUAGGUUUUCCUGGGAAAA